CAUGCAAGUCGAACGAUGAAGCCCAGCUUGCUGGGUGGAUUAGUGGCGAACGGGUGAGUAACACGUGAGUAACCUGCCCUUAACUCUGGGAUAAGCCUGGGAAACUGGGUCUAAUACCGGAUAGGAGCGUCCACCGCAUGGUGGGUGUUGGAAAGAUUUAUCGGUUUUGGAUGGACUCGCGGCCUAUCAGCUUGUUGGUGAGGUAAUGGCUCACCAAGGCGACGACGGGUAGCCGGCCUGAGAGGGUGACCGGCCACACUGGGACUGAGACACGGCCCAGACUCCUACGGGAGGCAGCAGUGGGGAAUAUUGCACAAUGGGCGAAAGCCUGAUGCAGCGACGCCGCGUGAGGGAUGACGGCCUUCGGGUUGUAAACCUCUUUCAGUAGGGAAGAAGCGAAAGUGACGGUACCUGCAGAAGAAGCACCGGCUAACUACGUGCCAGCAGCCGCGGUAAUACGUAGGGUGCGAGCGUUAUCCGGAAUUAUUGGGCGUAAAGAGCUCGUAGGCGGUUUGUCGCGUCUGUCGUGAAAGUCCGGGGCUUAACCCCGGAUCUGCGGUGGGUACGGGCAGACUAGAGUGCAGUAGGGGAGACUGGAAUUCCUGGUGUAGCGGUGGAAUGCGCAGAUAUCAGGAGGAACACCGAUGGCGAAGGCAGGUCUCUGGGCUGUAACUGACGCUGAGGAGCGAAAGCAUGGGGAGCGAACAGGAUUAGAUACCCUGGUAGUCCAUGCCGUAAACGUUG
rnacentral:rRNA from 1 species